ACAGAGCGGGGCCGUCAAACCGUUACCAUUACUGAGUUUAGUAAUGGUAAGGGUUCCACGGCCUCUGCUCAAA
rnacentral:pre_miRNA from 1 species